ACGCUCGACACCUACGUGAGGCAGCAGUGGGGAAUAUUGCACAAUGGGGGAAACCCUGAUGCAGCAACGCCGCGUGAGUGAAGAAGUAUUUCGGUAUGUAAAGCUCUAUCAGCAGGGAAGAUAAUGACGGUACCUGACUAAGAAGCUCCGGCUAAAUACGUGCCAGCAGCCGCGGUAAUCUGAGCGGGCUGGCAAGGC
rnacentral:rRNA from 1 species